rnacentral:rRNA from 1 species
UGGGGAAUAUUGGACAAUGGGCGCAAGCCUGAUCCAGCCAUGCCGCGUGAGUGAUGAAGGCCCUAGGGUUGUAAAGCUCUUUCACCGGUGAAGAUAAUGACGGUAACCGGAGAAGAAGCCCCGGCUAACUUCGUGCCAGCAGCCGCGGUAAUACGAAGGGGGCUAGCGUUGUUCGGAUUUACUGGGCGUAAAGCGCACGUAGGCGGACUUUUAAGUCAGGGGUGAAAACCCGGGGCUCAACCCCGGAACUGCCUUUGAUACUGGAAGUCUUGAGUAUGGUAGAGGUGAGUGGAAUUCCGAGUGUAGAGGUGAAAUUCGUAGAUAUUCGGAGGAACACCAGUGGCGAAGGCGGCUCACUGGACCAUUACUGACGCUGAGGUGCGAAAGCGUGGGGAGCAAACAGG